AGGGUUCGAUUCUGGCUCAGGAUGAACGCUAGCUACAGGCUUAACACAUGCAAGUCGAGGGGCAGCAUGACGAUAGCUUGCUAUUGUCGAUGGCGACCGGCGCACGGGUGAGUAACGCGUAUCCAACCUUCCCCAUAGUAGGGCAUAGCCCGUAGAAAUGCGGAUUAAUACCCUAUGUUUUCCGAAGCAGACAUCUAAUUUGGAACAAAGGUUCACCGCUAUGGGAUGGGGAUGCGUCUGAUUAGGUUGUUGGCGGGGUAACGGCCCACCAAGCCUUCGAUCAGUAGGGGUUCUGAGAGGAAGGUCCCCCACAUUGGAACUGAGACACGGUCCAAGCUCCUACGGGAGGCAGCAGUGAGGAAUAUUGGUCAAUGGGCGAGAGCCUGAACCAGCCAAGUAGCGUGCAGGAAGACGGCCCUAUGGGUUGUAAACUGCUUUUAUGCGGGGAUAAAGUGGGCUACGUGUAGUCCUUUGCAGGUACCGCAUGAAUAAGGACCGGCUAAUUCCGUGCCAGCAGCUGC
rnacentral:rRNA from 1 species